rnacentral:rRNA from 1 species
GUGAGGAAUAUUGGACAAUGGAUGGAAAUCUGAUCCAGCCAUGUCGCGUGCAGGAAGACGGCCCUAUGGGUUGUAAACUGCUUUUGUAUGGGAGCAAUAAUGGCUACGUGUAGUCCGAUGAGAGUACCAUACGAAUAAGGACCGGCUAACUCCGUGCCAGCAGCCGCGGUAAUACGGAGGGUCCGAGCGUUAUCUGGAUUUAUUGGGUUUAAAGGGUGCGUAGGCGGUUUUAUAAGUCAGCGGUGAAAGUUUCCGGCUCAACCGGGAUACUGCCGUUGUUACUGUAAGGCUAGGAUAGGGUUGCUGUGGGUGGAAUGUGUGGUGUAGCGGUGAAAUGCUUAGAGAUCACACAGAAUAUCGAUUGCGAAGGCAGCUCACAAAGCCAUUAUUGACGCUGAGGCACGAAAGUGUGGGGAUCAAACAGGAUUAGAAACCCCGGUAGUCC